rnacentral:sRNA from 1 species
UAGAGGCCUAGCUGAGGAGGAUGCUCUGCUUCCGAGGUGCAGGGAAGCCUGGGGUAGGUCAUAGGGGUCCCUCUGACCACAGUCCUGGUCAUCUUGUGGGGAAGGGACAGGCCUGCCAGAGGAGCAGGGAUGGGGUCUGCAGCCUGGCAGGGCGUGGAGCGAGACCUUCGAGGCCAGGUGCCGGGCGGUGAGCGGGGCCUGGUGGAGGAGUACGUGGAGAAGGUCCCUAACCCCAGCCUGAAGACCUUCAAGCCCAUCGACCUGAGUGACCUGAAGCGCCGGAGCACGCAGGAUGCCAAGAAGUCCUAGAGCGGCCGGCGCCUCUCCCCGGCCUCCGGAAGAUCAGGGUGCGAGGUGUCGGUUCCCUCCUGUCCUGUGGCCCUGGCUCCUGGGAUGGGGGCGCCUUGCUCCAGCGGGCUGCAGACCCCAGCACUGGCGUGACUGACGGCUGAGGCCUGCCUCUCCUUCCCAAGCCCCCUUCCUUCAUCCUUGGGGGUCUCAGGCUGCCCCCAUCAUGGGGGUCUGGGCCCUGCCCACCCUGCUGCCCUGCCCCAGCCACCCCACCUGGCUGCACUUUUGAAGCUGCCUGUGACCCCCAGGGGCCCUGACCUGACCUCUCUCCUCUCCCUCACCCUCCUGUCCCUGACCCCCAGGGGCCCUGACCUGGCCUCUCUCCUCUCCCUCACCCUCCUGUCCCUGGCCACUGCAGGAUCAGGAGGGGAGAAGAAGGAGCCUCUGCUGCCUCCCAGGCUGCUGGGACUGGGCUGGUUUUGUCCUUGAAGUGGCCAGGAUACAAGAAAAGGGCAGCCCCA